rnacentral:rRNA from 1 species
CGAAUGGGGGCUACCAAUAUGCGAGUCGUGCGGGGUAGACGUAAAUAAGCUCUCUGGGUGACGAAAGGCGGACGGGGAGAGUGUCUGGGAAACUGCCUGAUGGAGGGGGAUAACUACUGGAAACGGUAGCUAAUACCGCAUGACCUCGCAAGAGCAAAGUGGGGGACCUUCGGGCCUCACGCCAUCGGAUGUGCCCAGAUGGGAUUAGCUAGUAGGUGAGGUAAUGGCUCACCUAGGCGACGAUCCCUAGCUGGUCUGAGAGGAUGACCAGCCACACUGGAACUGAGACACGGUCCAGACUCCUACGGGAGGCAGCAGUGGGGAAUAUUGCACAAUGGGCGCAAGCCUGAUGCAGCCAUGCCGCGUGUGUGAAGAAGGCCUUCGGGUUGUAAAGCACUUUCAGCGAGGAGGAAGGCCAGUGACUUAAUAAGUGACUGGAUUGACGUUACUCGCAGAAGAAGCACCGGCUAACUCCGUGCCAGCAGCCGCGGUAAUACGGAGGGUGCAAGCGUUAAUCGGAAUUACUGGGCGUAAAGCGCACGCAGGCGGUUUGUUAAGUCAGAUGUGAAAUCCCCGAGCUUAACUUGGGAACUGCAUUUGAAACUGGCAAGCUAGAGUCUUGUAGAGGGGGGUAGAAUUCCAGGUGUAGCGGUGAAAUGCGUAGAGAUCUGGAGGAAUACCGGUGGCGAAGGCGGCCCCCUGGACAAAGACUGACGCUCACGUGCGAAAGCGUGGGGUGCAUACAGGAUUAGAU